GGAAAGUUUCUUUACAACUCUUUUACAGCUAGAAUUCUAAUUGGGUCGACUAUAGUUUGGUACCCAUUUGUUUUUAUACAUAUGUACAAGUACAAGUCAGACUCAUAUCGGAAGGUCCGUCAAGGAAACAACAGCUUUUUGGAUACAAAUGAUGUAGUGAAAUGCUGCUUAGCUUCGGAUAUUUCUGAGAGGUGGCUCUGUUGCUGAAAAAUAUUAGCAGUUAGUGUUUCUAUUCGUAGGGAUUAUUCAUCAAUUCGAAGGAUUAUCUAAUUGUUUACUGACCACAGAUUUGGAAUGUAUUGAAUCAAAGUAAAAUUUUUGAGUAAAGCUGAUGUAGCCUAAGCAGGCCAGACCAUUGAGAUGGUGUAGAGAACUAAAAAGAAAAAUUCGGACUUUGAGGAUUGAGUCUAUGAAAAUAUUUGUAUGAGUAAUUUUUAAUUGAAAGAGUGUAAAAACACAAGAAGAACAAUAAAACACCACCAACCUGUUGAAAAUGAUAGGGACGUUGAUAUUCAAAUUCCUGAACUUAGUGGAAGUGAGAAUCAAAAUGAUUUCAAGGCAUAGUUUACUGGGUACUGCCUCUUUCUCGCACGCACACACAAAAACAAACAAGAACAGAAAAACUUCGAUCAGCAAAUGGACAGAGGGAUCUAAGAGGUUCGGCGGAGCUCGAUGUCAGUUCUAUUUUAAUUCAAAUUACAUAAAUAUAUUUCACCAAUAAACCUCUCAGUUCCCAUGAAUAAUGUAUUUUCUUCGUCAACUUCAAACCGAUUUACAUAAUUUCACCUAUGUUUUAUGUAUUUAAUACAUUAAUGCUAAUAAAAUUUGCCCCAACACA